rnacentral:lncRNA from 1 species
UCUCUCAUAUUGAAAAAAGAACGAAGUAUAAAACAACAAUAAUUAAAAUAAGGGUUAAGCUUUACAUGCAAAUAUACUUACAUGAAAAUCAGCAAAAAGAGUAUCCUCAACAAAUUUAACCCAGAUUUCUUCAGAGUUGACAUUCUUUGGUCUAAGAAGGGUAAUAGUGCAUGCUCUAUUCACAGGUGAUUCAACUUGAGUUCUAAUUUGUUUUCUAAAUCUUGAUUUGAAUGUCCUCCAAUACUUUCUCAUACAUUGAAAUGUCAUUAUUUGAUGACAAUCACUGACAUUGAACCUUUGCUGUAUUUAUGCACAAGCAUGAAUUUAAGACUUUAGAAAAUGGUAUCAUUAAGAAAGAAAUAAAUACAACGUAAUAAUCUCAAAAGGUAGUUAGGAAAUGUUAUCUGUAUGAAAGUCCAGAGCUCCAUUUUUAGUCUCUUCAUUCACUGAAAUCCAAUCUUUAAUUACAACAGGCACAUGUUCUCGUACCAUGGCCCCAACUACGCUAGAAAAUUUUUUCGAGUUCUGCCCAACAACUUGGCCAUAUUCAUUGAAUUCUAGAUUUAUCUUCUGAUAAUUAUGUUCAGGAAUCAUCUUCACUUGUGUUGGACCUCUUUUCUUUUUCGGAGCAUUUACAGUUUUUGGCAACGUGGUUUGCUCAUCAUUAGUUGGACUAGUUAUAGUAUUGUCUUGUUCACUGGAAUUGUUUAGUCUCUUACUUGUCUCCCAAAUUGCAUCAGCAAUUGAAGCCCUUCUUCUUUUAGAACUCUUCGAAGUUUGUUUAGUUGGCUUUGAGAAUACAACAUGGAAACAUAAGUUAAACGCAAUUAUUUUCAAAACUUAGCAUAUAUCUUAUGUAUUAUAAGAAAACACAAUUACCCGAGUCUUGUCCAUCGUACAAAAUGUAUUUCGGAUUGAAAAGAUUCUCUAGAGCUCGAAUAAAAACCUACAACAUCAAAACAAAUAGAUGUUAUUCAACAUUUCAUCGCAAUAUGACUGGAUAGAUAAAUCACAUGUCAAAAUAUUCUAAAAAAAUUGAUCAUUAUGUAAAAAGUAUGUUGUCUACAAAAAAGGGAGUUACCAAAAUACUUUACGUAUCACACAGUACGCC